GCGUAUGCAACCUACCUUAUACAGGGGAAUAGCCCGAAGAAAUUCGGAUUAAUGCUCCAUGGUUUAUCGAUAUGGCAUCGUAUUGAUAAUAAAGAUUUAUCGGUAUAAGAUGGGCAUGCGUAUCAUUAGCUAGUUGGUGUGGUAACGGCAUACCAAGGCAACGAUGAUUAGGGGUCCUGAGAGGGAGAUCCCCCACACUGGUACUGAGACACGGACCAGACUCCUACGGGAGGCAGCAGUGAGGAAUAUUGGUCAAUGGAGGCAACUCUGAACCAGCCAUGCCGCGUGCAGGAUGACGGUCCUAUGGAUUGUAAACUGCUUUUGUACAGGAAGAAACCUCCCUACGAGUAGGGACUUGACGGUACUGUAAGAAUAAGGAUCGGCUAACUCCGUGCCAGCAGCCGCGGUAAUACGGAGGAUCCGAGCGUUAUCCGGAAUUAUUGGGUUUAAAGGGUUCGUAGGCGGCUUUGUAAGUCAGUGGUGAAAUUUCCUAGCUUAACUAGGACACUGCCAUUGAUACUGCAGAGCUUGAAUAGUAUGGAAGUAACUAGAAUAUGUAGUGUAGCGGUGAAAUGCUUAGAUAUUACAUGGAAUACCAAUUGCGAAGGCAGGUUACUACGUAUUUAUUGACGCUGAUGAACGAAAGCGUGGGGAGCGAACAGGAUUAGAUACCCUGGUAGUCCACGCCGUAAACGAUGGAUACUAGCUGUUCGGUUUUCGGACUGAGUGGCUAAGCGAAAGUGAUAAGUAUCCCACCUGGGGAGUACGUUCGCAAGAAUGAAACUCAAAGGAAUUGACGGGGGCCCGCACAAGCGGUGGAGCAUGUGGUUUAAUUCGAUGAUACGCGAGGAACCUUACCAGGGCUUAAAUGUAGAUUGACAGAUUUGGAAACAGAUUUUUCUUCGGACAAUUUACAAGGUGCUGCAUGGUUGUCGUCAGCUCGUGCCGUGAGGUGUCAGGUUAAGUCCUAUAACGAGCGCAACCCCUAUUGUUAGUUACCAGCGCGUAGUGGCGGGGACUCUAGCAAGACUGCCGGUGCAAACCGUGAGGAAGGUGGGGAUGACGUCAAAUCAUCACGGCCCUUACGUCCUGGGCUACACACGUGCUACAAUGGCAAGUACAGAAAGCAGCUACCUGGCAACAGGAUGCGAAUCUCCAAAGCUUGUCUCAGUUCGGAUUGGAGUCUGCAACUCGACUCUAUGAAGCUGGAAUCGCUAGUAAUCGGAUAUCAGCCAUGAUCCGGUGAAUACGUUCCCGGGCCUUGUACACA
rnacentral:rRNA from 1 species